GACAGAGGGUGCAAACGUUGUUCGGAAUUACUGGGCGUAAAGCGCGUGUAGGCGGUCUCGUAAGUCGGGUGUGAAAGCCCUGGGCUCAACCCAGGAAGUGCACUCGAAACUGCGAGGCUAGAGUACUGGAGAGGUUGGUGGAAUUCUCGGUGUAGAGGUGAAAUUCGUAGAUAUCGAGAGGAACACCGGUGGCGAAGGCGGCCAACUGGACAGAUACUGACGCUGAGACUCGAAAGCGUGGGGAGCAAACGGG
rnacentral:rRNA from 1 species